UACGUAGGGGGCAAGCGUUGUCCGGAAUCAUUGGGCGUAAAGAGCGUGUAGGCGGCUCGGUAAGUCCGCUGUGAAAGUCCAGGGCUCAACCCUGGAAUGCCGGUGGAAACUGUCGAGCUAGAGUCCGGAAGAGGCGAGUGGAAUUCCUGGUGUAGCGGUGAAAUGCGCAGAUAUCAGGAGGAACACCAAUGGCGAAGGCAGCUCGCUGGGACGGUACUGACGCUGAGACGCGAAAAGCGUGGGGGAGCAAACAGG
rnacentral:rRNA from 1 species